rnacentral:rRNA from 7 species
UGUCCCAUUUCAUUUUAUUCGCCUGUUUAUCAAAAACAUCGCCUCCUGAUUAAUAUAGGAGGUCCAGCCUGCCCAGUGACUCUGUUUAACGGCCGCGGUAUUCUAACCGUGCGAAGGUAGCGUAAUCACUUGUUCUUUAAAUGAGGACUAGUAUGAAUGGCAUCACGAGGGUUAUACUGUCUCCUUUUCCAAAUCAGUGAAACUAAUCUCCCCGUGAAGAAGCGGGGAUAAAAAUAUAAGACGAGAAGACCCUAUGGAGCUUAAAACUUUCAACAAUUAUAUUUUAUUUAUAAACCUAAAGGUAAUCAAACUAAUCCUUAUAAUAUGUGUGUUAGUUUUCGGUUGGGGUGACCGCGGAGUAAAACCUAACCUCCAUAUUGAAUUAAAUUAUUUAUUAGCAAAAAACUACAAUUUUAUGCAUCAAAAAAUUGACAUUAUUGACCCAAUAUUUUGAUCAACGAACCAAGUUACCCUAGGGAUAACAGCGCAAUCCAUCCCAAGAGCUCAUAUCGACGGAUGGGUUUACGACCUCGAUGUUGGAUCAGGAUAUCCUAGUGGUGCAGCCGCUACUAAAGGUUCGUUUGUUCAACGAUUAAAAUCCUACGUGAUCUGAUUCCAGACCGGA